GAAUGGGAGUUAUCCAUAAGUGUUGGAAUCAGAUGAUGAAGAGUAGAAGAUAAAAAAUGAAGAUUCUUCUCCGAGGAAUUGCACACAGGGUGAAAAGCAAGUGUAAAAAGAAGGCAAGUGUAACAUGAGUACUCUUUGUUACCUAAUAACUAUUUAAUUAUCUUUUCAUGUACAUAGAUCUAAUAUGAUGAAAUCUUAAGGCCUUUAACUAGUAUCUUUGAUACCCUAUAUCCUUGUUACCUAUGGGUUUACGUAUAUGGAUAACUAUGCUUAGCUUUGCAGUAACCAACUCCAUGUUGACGCAAAUGGAAAUGAAAUCGGAUCACAUCCUAUGUGUUGCCAUAACGUCAACAACUUUAAUUCCUUUACAUUGUGUUACCAAUUCUACAACCAAACAACUUCCCAAUGGUAUCAUGCAUGUCUUGGUUAAUCGAUUAUGCAGUGAUGAAAUUAAUGGUGCUUUUUAGUAAUUAAGGACAAAGAGGGCUAGAGAACUAGGUAAAUACCAACACUUAUAAAGCAACAAUCCAGGACUUAUAAUACAACUACAAGGAUUACAUGGCUCUGGUGCUAUAUUAGCACUUUGAGCUUAUUUAGCUUUUUAGUGGUCACCAAAGGGUGGGGAUGUUAUGUGUGAUGGAGUGUGCCAUGGUGGUAGGGAGUUCCUAUAUCUACUAGAUCAAUCUAAAACCUUGCAGUUACUAACUUAUUAGAGGGACUCUGGUAAAAGCUUGUAGUUAAACUCUAUUGCAUGUUCAUGGAAAUGCGAUAUAGGGUUGAUGGGCCCUUGGCAUAUGGGAAUCAAUAAUCAUGGGUAAAGUUAUACAACCUCUGUAGAGUGUCUUUAAACUGAUAUAUUAGUCAUGCUCUUGCUCAUCAGUGGCAUGUAACCUUUCUGAUUACAUGGUAUUACUUGGAUGAUUUGGUUUAUGAUGAAUAUUGCUAUUAUCUCUAAGCAAUUUAACUUUGGGACUUAAGUAUAACCUAGCAACACAGGUUCUAAUAGUGAAACAUGACCAAGUAAAAGUGCAUAGGCAGUUUAGUCAUAUCUAGCCUUUUGAGCCUUACAUAACCUUGUGUUAUACUUGUUGAGUAUGAUGAUGUUCACACUUGCUUAAUUCAAUAAAAACUUGAAUGGGUACCAGAUGGUGGAAGUUAUAAGUCUUCUAAGGAGUUACACAAAACGCAUGUACCCCAGUCAGCCAUCCCUAUGGUGGAGUCCUACUAUAAAAAAGAUGAAAAAUCGUUCCAUGGUGUAAGUCUUAAUGUAAACAUUAUCAUUAUAUAAUAAACAUUGACUUUAUGUGUCAACCAUCCUCUAUUGGUUGCUAUAUGUGUCUUGCAGACAUGACUAGAUAUACAUAUAGCUAGUGCUUGAUUUUCUUUAGAAAACUAGGUGCUAUAACCAAAGUAAAGAAUCUUAUCUUCUACUCAAUUUAUGAUUUUCAGGAUUUGUUACAUCCUAACAUCCUUUUGAAAUCCGUCAUAGAAAUUUAGCCAAUUAGAUAACUUCAAGAUGCACACGUUUCUUGGACUCCAUCAAAUUAAUAAUGUGACAAACAAUUUUCAUGAUGGAUCUCAUAUCAAUUUCAUCAUCGGUGCUAGAGUGGGUAGCCCUUGGAGAGAUUGUACAAAUCUCCCUAAUAGGAAGGAGCACAUCCUAUCGAAGAAAUGUUGAAUGCUAUGAAAGCAUGUACAAAUUCUAUUUAUUGACACUGAUUACAUGCUCUAUAUUAUAUAUGUUUUGACAUAUGCUAUGUGUAGCUUGCUCAGUAUUCUUAGUCAAGUCGUGGAGCAACUACUAGCUUGCUCAGUAUUCAUAUGCAUGUACUAUGGAAGUUUAAGGCCCACCUUGCAUGGAUUACAUGAUCAUUUGCAUUUUGCUUUGGAUCGUCCUAACCCAUUUGCAUUGCCUCUAGUUUAUUUGAUCUUUGGUAGACCACUUGGACUUGUAAAGCAAAGAUUGCUGCACUAAUUCAUGUGUUGAUAGAAGUCUUUGCCGAUUAAGGCCACUGAACUGGCAGCCCCCAUGUUAUCACUAUCGCAUAGAUGGUAGAGCUGACAACAGUGAUCCUGAUGCUAUUACUGUUAGGACAGCGUUGAACCGAUAGUGAUAUUAGCCUUUUGCCGAGUCAAGAAUUGGCAGUGGCAAGCCAGCCUCAUCAUUGUUGAUUACUCUCUGUCACUCAAACCUAAUUCCGGUAGGGAUAUAAGGAUCUAGUGUAGUGCACAUGUGAUCCUGAUUUUUACUCCCUCAAUUCUAAAUUGUAAUACAUUUUGGUUCUCUAGAUUUAUAACUUUUGCUAUGCACUUAGAGCUAGUAUAAUAAAUGACUACAGGUGGGCUAUAUGUAAGGGUGGAGGAGAGAGAGAAGAGAAGUAGGUUGUAAGCUUAUAAGUGACUGAUGUAGAGAGGCAAGAAAUUUGUGUGAGAGAGAGAUAGGUCAUAGGUAAGUCAACUAUUAUAUAGAUGGGAUGUAAGCGUUCAUACAAACAGCAAAGACUAUAUUAUUGGUCUUGCUCUAAGAUAUAUACUAUGUCUAAAUACGUGUAAAAAUAAAUAUUUCAAGGAAAAUCAAUACAUUUUACAACUUGGAACAUAAAGAAUACAAUACAUCGACUCAUUGUUUUCCUCCUUUACUAAGAUUGUAGUAUAUUGUCCGUGCUAACGCUAUGGAACACAUUAAGUAACUUUUCAUAUAUGCGGAAAUUCAAAUUAUGAAAGGAAAAUAUAUGACAAGUAAUUCUCUCUAUUGUAUUUGAAAACUGAACCUUGGUUUCUCCCUAUUGUUCAAUUUUAGUUCUGUAGAUCUAACAAUGAGUAUAAGUAAUUCAUUGCCUCCUUUACUACUUUCCAGAAAGAAUAGACAAUACAAGGUAAGAUACACCAGAUGUAGUAUGUGUUGUUCUAAGCAUAGAAUGAUAUUGCAAUAGCCAAGAAGAAAACAAUAUAAUGAUAUAUCAAAUACAGUGAUAUUAUCUUGGUUUAAUGUGAUAUUGCAAUAGCCAAGAAGAAAAGAAUGAUAUAUCAUCUGCAGAUACUUUACAGAGCCUGAACUGACUGUUCAUUGUUUUUGCUCAUUAGAUUUUUGCUGACAGAAACAAGCAUGGAAACUAUUUUUGCAUCUCAGCUAAUGUCCAGCUACUUCGACACCGGCAAGUGCAUUCUUUUAGCAAGUGAUUUUUUAGUAAUGGCAAAGCUCAAGAUUACUUGUAUGGCAUUUGUUGCCCAAUCAAAGCA
rnacentral:lncRNA from 1 species